rnacentral:rRNA from 1 species
UACGUAGGGGGCUAGCGUUGUCCGGAAUCCUUGGGCGUAAAGAGCGUGUAGGCGGCCCGGUAAGUCCGCUGUGAAAGUCGGGGGCUCAACCCUCGAAUGCCGGUGGAUACUGUCGGGCUAGAGUGCGGAAGAGGCGAGUGGAAUUCCUGGUGUAGCGGUGAAAUGCGCAGAUAUCAGGAGGAACACCUAUGGCGAAGGCAGCUCUCUGGGACGGUACUGACGCUGAGACGCGAAAGCGUGGGGAGCGAACAGG